AGACAGAGGUGGCAAGCGUUGUUCGGAUUUACUGGGCGUAAAGAGCAUGUAGGCGGUUAGAUUAGUCAGUUGUGAAAUCCUAUGGCUUAACCAUAGAAUUGCAUCUGAUACUGUCUAGCUAGAGUGCAGGAGAGGAGAGUGGAAUUUCCAGUGUAGCGGUGAAAUGCGUAGAUAUUGGAAGGAACACCGGUGGCGAAGGCGGCUCUCUGGUCUGUAACUGACGCUGAGAUGCGAAAGCGUGGGUAGCAAACAGGAUUAGAAACCCGAGUAGUCC
rnacentral:rRNA from 1 species